rnacentral:rRNA from 1 species
AUUGAACGCUGGCGGCACGCCUAACACAUGCAAGUCGAGCGGUAGCAUGAUUUGUAGCAAUACAAAUUGAUGACGAGCGGCGGACGGGUGAGUAAUACGUAGGAACCUGCCCUUAAGCGGGGGAUAACCAAGGGAAACUUUGGCUAAUACCGCAUAAUCUCGAGAGAGUAAAGCUGCAGCAAUGUGGCACCUGAGGAGGGGCCUGCGUCAGAUUAGCUAGUUGGUGAGGUAAUGGCUCACCAAGGCGAUGAUCUGUAACUGGUCUGAGAGGACGACCAGUCACACUGGAACUGAGACACGGCCCAGACUCCUACGGGAGGCAGCAGUGGGGAAUAUUGGACAAUGGGGGCAACCCUGAUCCAGCGAUGCCGCGUGGGUGAAGAAGGCCUUCGGGUUGUAAAGCCCUUUAGGUUGGGAAGAAGGUUAGUGGAGGAAAUGCUAUUAAUUUGACGGUACCAACAGAAUAAGCACCGGCAAACUCUGUGCCAGCCGCCGCGGUAAAAC